rnacentral:rRNA from 1 species
GCCACAGCACAUAUAACCCUGCAGCCCAAGACUGGUUGCUCACUGAAGCUAAGCAGGGUUGAGCCUGGUUAGUACCUGGAUGGGAGACCUCCUGGGAAAACUAGGUUGCUGUUGGA